rnacentral:rRNA from 1 species
GAUGAACGCUGGUGGCGUGCCUAAUACAUGCAAGUCGAGCGAACAGACGAGGAGCUUGCUCCUCUGACGUUAGCGGCGGACGGGUGGGUAACACGUGGAUAACCUACCUAUAAGACUGGGAUAACUUCGGGAAACCGGAGCUAAUACCGGAUAAUAUAUUGAACCGCAUGGUUCAAUAGUGAAAGACGGUUUUGCUGUCACUUAUAGAUGGAUCCGCGCCGCAUUAGCUAGUUGGUAAGGUAACGGCUUACCAAGGCAACGAUGCGUAGCCGACCUGAGAGGGUGAUCGGCCACACUGGAACUGAGACACGGUCCAGACUCCUACGGGAGGCAGCAGUAGGGAAUCUUCCGCAAUGGGCGAAAGCUUGACGGAGCAACGCCGCGUGAGUGAUGAAGGUCUUCGGAUCGUAAAACUCUGUUAUUAGGGAAGGACAAAUGUGUAAGUAACUAUGCACGUCUUGACGGUACCUAAUCAGAAAGCCACGGCUAACUACGUG